AGAGUUUGAUCCUGGCUCAGGACGAACGCUGGCGGUGUGCUUAACACAUGCAAGUCGAACGGUAAGGCCCUUUCGGGGGUACACGAGUGGCGAACGGGUGAGUAACACGUGAGUAACCUGCCCUCAUCUCUGGGAUAACAGUCGGAAACGGUUGCUAAUACUGGAUAUGAGCCUGCAAGGCAUCUUGUGGGUUGGAAAGAUUUUUUGGUUGGGGAUGGACUCGCGGCCUAUCAGCUUGUUGGUGAGGUAGUGGCUCACCAAGGCUUCGACGGGUAGCCGGCCUGAGAGGGCGACCGGCCACAUUGGGACUGAGAUACGGCCCAAACUCCUACGGGAGGCAGCAGUGGGGAAUAUUGCACAAUGGACGGAAGUCUGAUGCAGCAACGCCGCGUGCGGGAUGACGGCCUUCGGGUUGUAAACCGCUUUCAAUUGUGACGAAGCUUUUUGUGACGGUAGCAGUAGAAGAAGCACCGGCUAACUACGUGCCAGCAGCCGCGGUGAUACGUAGGGUGCGAGCGUUGUCCGGAUUUAUUGGGCGUAAAGAGCUUGUAGGCGGUUUGUCGCGUCGGGAGUGAAAACUUGGGGCUUAACCCUGAGCUUGCUUUCGAUACGGGCUGACUUGAGGGAGGUAGGGGAGAAUGGAAUUCCUGGUGGAGCGGUGGAAUGCGCAGAUAUCAGGAGGAACACCGGUGGCGAAGGCGGUUCUCUGGACCUUUCCUGACGCUGAGAAGCGAAAGCGUGGGGAGCGAACAGGCUUAGAUACCCUGGUAGUCCACGCUGUAAACGGUGGGUACUAGGUGUGGGGGACAUUCCACGUUCUCCGUGCCGUAGCUAACGCAUUAAGUACCCCGCCUGGGGAGUACGGCCGCAAGGCUAAAACUCAAAGGAAUUGACGGGGCCCCGCACAAGCGGCGGAGCAUGCGGAUUAAUUCGAUGCAACGCGAAGAACCUUA
rnacentral:rRNA from 1 species